rnacentral:rRNA from 1 species
GAUGAUCGCUAGCUACAGGCUUAACACAUGCAAGUCGAGGGGUAACAAGAGAAAAGCUUGCUUUUCUUGUUGACGACCGGCGCACGGGUGAGUAACGCGUAUCCAACCUGCCUAUAACUAGGGAAUAACCUUGCGAAAGUAAGACUAAUACCCUAUGAUUUCCUUUGAUGACAUCAGAUUAGGAAUAAAGAUUUAUCGGUUAUAGAUGGGGAUGCGUCUGAUUAGCUUGUUGGCGGGGUAAAGGCCCACCAAGGCAACGAUCAGUAGGGGUUCUGAGAGGAAGGUCCCCCACAUUGGAACUGAGACACGGUCCAAACUCCUACGGGAGGCAGCAGUGAGGAAUAUUGGUCAAUGGGCGGAAGCCUGAACCAGCCAAGUAGCGUGCAGGAUGACGGCCCUAUGGGUUGUAAACUGCUUUUAUACAGGAAUAAAGUUAGCCACGUGUGGUUAUUUGUAGGUACUGUAUGAAUAAGGACCGGCUAAUUCCGUGCCAGCAGCCGCGGUAA